GACGAACCGUGCAGAGUUAUUCGGAAUCACUGGGCUUAAAGGGCGCGUAGGCGGACCACCAAGUCCGGGGUGAAAUCCUUCGGCUUAACCGGAGAAUUGCCUGGGAUACUGGUGGUCUUGAGGGAGGUAGGGGCACGCGGAACUUCCGGUGGAGCGGUGAAAUGCGUUGAUAUCGGAAGGAACGCCGGUGGCGAAAGCGGCGUGCUGGCCCUCUUCUGACGCUGAGGCGCGAAAGCCAGGGGAGCGAACGGG
rnacentral:rRNA from 1 species